rnacentral:tRNA from 1 species
GUUCUUGUAGUUGAAUAACAACGGUGGUUUUUCAAGCCAUUAGUCUCGGUUAGAGCCCGAGCGGGAAUU